GUGCUUGCUUCGGCAGUACAUAUACUAAAAUUGGAAUGAUACAGAGAAGAUUAGCAUGGCCCCUGUGCAAGCAUAACAUGCAAAUUUGUUUAUGAAAACACUAAAAA
ensembl:snRNA U6 U6 spliceosomal RNA